CCUCUACAGUAGGAUCAGUGAUGUAGUGUAGUAGGAUGGUACCAGUACCUCUACAGUAGGAUCAGUGAUGUAGUGUAGUAGGAUGGUACCAGUACCUCUACAGUAGGA